rnacentral:misc_RNA from 1 species
AACGCAUAUUGCGCUCCCUGGUAUUCCGGGGAGCAUGCCUGUUUCAGCAUCAUUUGAACAUCUCAAAAUCAUUUUUAGUGUGAUUUUGGAAGCUGGGCUUUUUUGUUGUGUGUUUACACAUAACUGGCCUGAAAUUGGUGACAUUAAUGCAAGAAUCGUGUGGAUGCCUUUGUUGCAUUAGACGAAAAGCUAAUUAGUUGACUGUGGUCAAACUUGCUGAAUAGUCUUUUUAAUAACAAGGCAAUCUCCCACAUUCACAAAUUGAUCUGAAAUCAGGUAGGAUUACCCGCUGAACUUAA